UUAAUGAAAACUCUGGGGCUACUCCAUGUCUCCGUUUGUACAUGGACAAGAAGGAAGACUCCGAGAGCUGAUGUCGUGUGACGAGCUGUGUUACCGCCUGGAGCUUGAUCACUUUCUGUGUCUGUUUCUUGUACCUUGUUUCUUCCUCUGGGUUACGUUCUCUUGCUGAAAGGCUGUUUUUCAUAACAACAUGUUUUCCAGUGAGUCUCCUCUUUCCACGUUUGCUGGGACCUGAGUGCAGGACUGUGGAGCAGGACCUCCUACCAGUGAAUCUGGUUCACUCAUCACAGCCACCUUGGAUGGCAAGCUUCAGCUGUUUCAGGCCGAGUGAUGCUGACCCACGGGCUGGGCACCGCCUGGGCCAGAACAUGGCCUGAGUCUGGGUCCUCGUCCUGAGAGAUGCCAGCGGUGUCUACACCACCCGCUCGUCUGAGCCACCCUCACAGUCGCGGCCUGCCCACUCCUUGCUGGGGAUUCCCUGCCCUGGAAAAAUGGAAAUGGUGUCCAGCACUUCUGCACAGAAUUUGGUCAAGUUAAAAUAGAAUGUUCUUCUAUUUUAAUAAAAGAUUAUAAAAAAUAAUCUCUUAUUUCUUUCAUAAUUUAGUCUUUGCAGAGAGAGGAGGGUGAGAGAGAGACAGGG
rnacentral:lncRNA from 1 species